UGGGGAAUAGUCUAGCGAUAGGACGCAUGGCUCUGGACCAUGAAGGCCAGGUUCGAAUCCUGGUUCCCCAGCCA
rnacentral:tRNA from 1 species